ACCUGUAAAAGGCAAAAUAUCAGUAAUGAUGUGACGCAAAGCUACAGGGUCUAAAAUUUAAUGAAAAUUAGAUAGCCAGUUACCUUA
rfam:Firmicutes bacterium CAG:345 genomic scaffold, scf20